AGGGGAAUAUUGGACAAUGGGGGGAACCCUGAUCCAGCCAUGCCGCGUGUGUGAAGAAGGCCUUAUGGUUGUAAAGCACUUUAAGCGAGGAGGAGGGUACUGGUAUUAAUACUACCAGCUACUGGACGUUACUCGCAGAAUAAGCACCGGCUAACUCUGUGCCAGCAGCCGCGGUAAUACAGAGGGUGCGAGCGUUAAUCGGAUUUACUGGGCGUAAAGCGUGCGUAGGCGGCUAAUUGAGUCGGAUGUGAAAUCCCCGAGCUUAACUUGGGAAUUGCAUUCGAUACUGGUUAGCUAGAGUGUGGGAGAGGAUGGUAGAAUUCCAGGUGUAGCGGUGAAAUGCGUAGAGAUCUGGAGGAAUACCGAUGGCGAAGGCAGCCAUCUGGCCUAACACUGACGCUGAGGUACGAAAGCAUGGGGAGCAAACAGG
rnacentral:rRNA from 1 species